GGAGAGUUGCCAGAGCGGACGAAUGGGACGGUCUCGAAAACCGUUGAGGCUUCACGGUCUCCGAGGGUUCAAAUCCCUCACUCUCCGCCA
rnacentral:tRNA from 3 species